CCUACGGGGCGCAGCAGUGGGGGAUAUUGCACAAUGGGGGGAACCCUGAUGCAGCGACGCCGCGUGGGUGAAGGAGUGCUUCGGCAUGUAAAGCCCUAUCGGCAGGGCAGAAGCAAGACGGUACCUGACUAAGAAGCCCCGGCUAACUACGUGCAAGCAGCCGCGGUAAUACGUAGGGGGCGAGCGUUAUCCGGAUUCACUGGGUGUAAAGGGAGCGUAGACGGCGAUGCAAGCCAGGGGGGAAAGCCCGGGGCCCAACCCCGGGACUGCCGUUGGAACUGUGCGGCUAGAGUGCGGGAGGGGCAGGCGGAAUUCCAGGUGUAGCGGUGAAAGGCGUAGAUAUCAGGAGGAACACCGGCGGCGAAGGCGGCCUGCUGGACUGCGACUGACGUUGAGGCUCGAAAGCGUGGGGAGCGAACAGGAGUAGAUACCCCUGUAGUC
rnacentral:rRNA from 1 species